UUAAGCGACUAAGCGUACACGGUGGAUGCCCUGGCAGUCAGAGGCGAUGAAGGACGUGCUAAUCUGCGAUAAGCGUCGGUAAGGUGAUAUGAACCGUUAUAACCGGCGAUUUCCGAAUGGGGAAACCCAGUGUGUUUCGACACACUAUCAUUAACUGAAUCCAUAGGUUAAUGAGGCGAACCGGGGGAACUGAAACAUCUAAGUACCCCGAGGAAAAGAAAUCAACCGAGAUUCCCCCAGUAGCGGCGAGCGAACGGGGAGCAGCCCAGAGCCUGAAUCAGUGUGUGUGUUAGUGGAAGCGUCUGGAAAGGCGCGCGAUACAGGGUGACAGCCCCGUACACAAAAAUGCACAUGCUGUGAGCUCGAUGAGUAGGGCGGGACACGUGGUAUCCUGUCUGAAUAUGGGGGGACCAUCCUCCAAGGCUAAAUACUCCUGACUGACCGAUAGUGAACCAGUACCGUGAGGGAAAGGCGAAAAGAACCCCGGCGAGGGGAGUGAAAAAGAACCUGAAACCGUGUACGUACAAGCAGUGGGAGCACGCUUAGGCGUGUGACUGCGUACCUUUUGUAUAAUGGGUCAGCGACUUAUAUUCUGUAGCAAGGUUAACCGAAUAGGGGAGCCGAAGGGAAACCGAGUCUUAACUGGGCGUUAAGUUGCAGGGUAUAGACCCGAAACCCGGUGAUCUAGCCAUGGGCAGGUUGAAGGUUGGGUAACACUAACUGGAGGACCGAACCGACUAAUGUUGAAAAAUUAGCGGAUGACUUGUGGCUGGGGGUGAAAGGCCAAUCAAACCGGGAGAUAGCUGGUUCUCCCCGAAAGCUAUUUAGGUAGCGCCUCGUGAAUUCAUCUCCGGGGGUAGAGCACUGUUUCGGCAAGGGGGUCAUCCCGACUUACCAACCCGAUGCAAACUGCGAAUACCGGAGAAUGUUAUCACGGGAGACACACGGCGGGUGCUAACGUCCGUCGUGAAGAGGGAAACAACCCAGACCGCCAGCUAAGGUCCCAAAGUCAUGGUUAAGUGGGAAACGAUGUGGGAAGGCCCAGACAGCCAGGAUGUUGGCUUAGAAGCAGCCAUCAUUUAAAGAAAGCGUAAUAGCUCACUGGUCGAGUCGGCCUGCGCGGAAGAUGUAACGGGGCUAAACCAUGCACCGAAGCUGCGGCAGCGACACUAUGUGUUGUUGGGUAGGGGAGCGUUCUGUAAGCCUGUGAAGGUGUACUGUGAGGUAUGCUGGAGGUAUCAGAAGUGCGAAUGCUGACAUAAGUAACGAUAAAGCGGGUGAAAAGCCCGCUCGCCGGAAGACCAAGGGUUCCUGUCCAACGUUAAUCGGGGCAGGGUGAGUCGACCCCUAAGGCGAGGCCGAAAGGCGUAGUCGAUGGGAAACAGGUUAAUAUUCCUGUACUUGGUGUUACUGCGAAGGGGGGACGGAGAAGGCUAUGUUGGCCGGGCGACGGUUGUCCCGGUUUAAGCGUGUAGGCUGGUUUUCCAGGCAAAUCCGGAAAAUCAAGGCUGAGGCGUGAUGACGAGGCACUACGGUGCUGAAGCAACAAAUGCCCUGCUUCCAGGAAAAGCCUCUAAGCAUCAGGUAACAUCAAAUCGUACCCCAAACCGACACAGGUGGUCAGGUAGAGAAUACCAAGGCGCUUGAGAGAACUCGGGUGAAGGAACUAGGCAAAAUGGUGCCGUAACUUCGGGAGAAGGCACGCUGAUAUGUAGGUGAAGUCCCUCGCGGAUGGAGCUGAAAUCAGUCGAAGAUACCAGCUGGCUGCAACUGUUUAUUAAAAACACAGCACUGUGCAAACACGAAAGUGGACGUAUACGGUGUGACGCCUGCCCGGUGCCGGAAGGUUAAUUGAUGGGGUUAGCCGCAAGGCGAAGCUCUUGAUCGAAGCCCCGGUAAACGGCGGCCGUAACUAUAACGGUCCUAAGGUAGCGAAAUUCCUUGUCGGGUAAGUUCCGACCUGCACGAAUGGCGUAAUGAUGGCCAGGCUGUCUCCACCCGAGACUCAGUGAAAUUGAACUCGCUGUGAAGAUGCAGUGUACCCGCGGCAAGACGGAAAGACCCCGUGAACCUUUACUAUAGCUUGACACUGAACAUUGAGCCUUGAUGUGUAGGAUAGGUGGGAGGCUUUGAAGUGUGGACGCCAGUCUGCAUGGAGCCGACCUUGAAAUACCACCCUUUAAUGUUUGAUGUUCUAACGUUGACCCGUAAUCCGGGUUGCGGACAGUGUCUGGUGGGUAGUUUGACUGGGGCGGUCUCCUCCUAAAGAGUAACGGAGGAGCACGAAGGUUGGCUAAUCCUGGUCGGACAUCAGGAGGUUAGUGCAAUGGCAUAAGCCAGCUUGACUGCGAGCGUGACGGCGCGAGCAGGUGCGAAAGCAGGUCAUAGUGAUCCGGUGGUUCUGAAUGGAAGGGCCAUCGCUCAACGGAUAAAAGGUACUCCGGGGAUAACAGGCUGAUACCGCCCAAGAGUUCAUAUCGACGGCGGUGUUUGGCACCUCGAUGUCGGCUCAUCACAUCCUGGGGCUGAAGUAGGUCCCAAGGGUAUGGCUGUUCGCCAUUUAAAGUGGUACGCGAGCUGGGUUUAGAACGUCGUGAGACAGUUCGGUCCCUAUCUGCCGUGGGCGCUGGAGAACUGAGGGGGGCUGCUCCUAGUACGAGAGGACCGGAGUGGACGCAUCACUGGUGUUCGGGUUGUCAUGCCAAUGGCACUGCCCGGUAGCUAAAUGCGGAAGAGAUAAGUGCUGAAAGCAUCUAAGCACGAAACUUGCCCCGAGAUGAGUUCUCCCUGACUCCUUGAGAGUCCUGAAGGAACGUUGAAGACGACGACGUUGAUAGGCCGGGUGUGUAAGCGCAGCGAUGCGUUGAGCUAACCGGUACUAAUGAACCGUGAGGCUUAACCUU
rnacentral:rRNA from 1 species